rnacentral:rRNA from 1 species
CAGUAGCCGCGGGAACACGUAGGUGGCAAGCGUUGUCCGGAAUUAUUGGGCGUAAAGGGCUCGCAGGCGGUUUCUUAAGUCUGAUGUGAAAGCCCCCGGCUCAACCGGGGAGGGUCAUUGGAAACUGGGAAACUUGAGUGCAGAAGAGGAGAGUGGAAUUCCACGUGUAGCGGUGAAAUGCGUAGAGAUGUGGAGGAACACCAGUGGCGAAGGCGACUCUCUGGUCUGUAACUGACGCUGAGGAGCGAAAGCGUGGGGAGCGAACAGGAUUAGAUACCCGAGUAGUCCCUGUCUCUUAUAC